rnacentral:rRNA from 1 species
GACGAAGGUGGCGAGCGUUGUUCGGAAUCACUGGGCAUAAAGCGCACGUAGGCGGCGACGUAAGUUGGGUGUGAAAUCCCUCGGCCCAACCGAGGAACUGCGCCCAGUACUGCGUUGCUUGAGGAUCCAAGGGGUGCAUGGAAUUCCCGGUGGAGCGGUGAAAUGCGUUGAUAUCGGGAGGAACACCGGUGGCGAAGGCGGUUCUCUGGGCCUGUACUGACGCUGAGGAGCGAAAGCGUGGGGAGCGAACAGG